rnacentral:sRNA from 1 species
AUUGAACCUCGAGAACCGUUGUCUUAUA